rnacentral:rRNA from 1 species
AUUGAACGCUGGCGGCAUGCCUUACACAUGCAAGUCGAACGGUAACGGGCCUUCGGGUGCCGACGAGUGGCGAACGGGUGAGUAAUGUAUCGGAACGUACCUUUCAGUGGGGGAUAACGUAGCGAAAGUUACGCUAAUACCGCAUAUUCUGUGAGCAGGAAAGCAGGGGAUCGCAAGACCUUGCGCUGAUUGAGCGGCCGAUAUCAGAUUAGCUAGUUGGUGAGGUAAAGGCUCACCAAGGCGACGAUCUGUAGCGGGUCUGAGAGGAUGAUCCGCCACACUGGAACUGAGACACGGUCCAGACUCCUACGGGAGGCAGCAGUGGGGAAUUUUGGACAAUGGGGGCAACCCUGAUCCAGCCAUGCCGCGUGAGUGAAGAAGGCCUUCGGGUUGUAAAGCUCUUUCGGCCGGGAAGAAAUCGUAUGGGUUAAUACCCUGUGCGGAUGACGGUACCGGCAUAAGAAGCACCGGCUAACUACGUGCCAGCCGCCGCGGUAACAC